UACGUAGGGCGCAAGCGUUUGUCCGGAAUUAUUGGGCGUAAAGAGCUCGUAGGCGGCUUGUUGCGUCGGAUGUGAAAGCCCGGGGCUUAACCCCGGGUCUGCAUUCGAUACGGGCAGGCUAGAGUUCGGUAGGGGAGAUCGGAAUUCCUGGUGUAGCGGUGAAAUGCGCAGAUAUCAGGAGGAACACCGGUGGCGAAGGCGGAUCUCUGGGCCGAUACUGACGCUGAGGAGCGAAAGCGUGGGGAGCGAACAGG
rnacentral:rRNA from 1 species